GACGAACGCUGGCGGCGUGCUUAACACGUGCAAGUCGAACGGAAAGGCCCUGCUUUUGUGGGGUGCUCGAGUGGCGAACGGGUGAGUAACACGUGAGUAACCUGCCCUUGACUUUGGGAUAACUUCAGGAAACUGGGGCUAAUACCGGAUAGGAGCUCCUGCUGCAUGGUGGGGGUUGGAAAGUUUCGGCGGUUGGGGAUGGACUCGCGGCUUAUCAGCUUGUUGGUGGGGUAGUGGCUUACCAAGGCUUUGACGGGUAGCCGGCCUGAGAGGGUGACCGGCCACAUUGGGACUGAGAUACGGCCCAGACUCCUACGGGAGGCAGCAGUGGGGAAUAUUGGACAAUGGGCGCAAGCCUGAUCCAGCCAUACCGCGUGGGUGAAGAAGGCCUUCGGGUUGUAAACCGCUUUCGCCUGUGACGAAGCGUGAGUGACGGUAAUGGGUAAAGAAGCACCGGCUAACUACGUG
rnacentral:rRNA from 1 species